CACGUAGGCACCAAGCGUUGUCCGGAUUUAUUGGGCGUAAAGAGCUCGUAGGCGGUUCAGUAAGUCGGGUGUGAAAACUCUGGGCUCAACCCAGAGACGCCACCCGAUACUGCUGUGACUUGAGUACGGUAGGGGAGUGGGGAAUUCCUGGUGUAGCGGUGGAAUGCGCAGAUAUCAGGAGGAACACCGGUGGCGAAGGCGGUUCUCUGGGCAUUACCUGACGCUGAGGAGCGAAAGCAUGGGGAGCGAACAGG
rnacentral:rRNA from 1 species